rnacentral:rRNA from 1 species
GUAGGUGGCAAGCGUUGUCCGGAAUUAUCGGGCGUAAAGCGCGCGCAGGCGGUUCUUUAAGUCUGAUGUGAAAGCCCACGGCUCAACCGUGGAGGGCCAUUGGAAACUGGAGAACUUGAGUACAGAAGAGGAAAGCGGAAUUCCACGUGUAGCGGUGAAAUGCGUAGAGAUGUGGAGGAACACCAGUGGCGAAGGCGGCUUUCUGGUCUGUAACUGACGCUGAGGCGCGAAAGCGUGGGGAGCAAACAGGAUUAGAUACCCUGGUAGUCCACGCCGUAAACGAUGAGUGCUAAGUGUUAGGGGGUUUCCGCCCCCCUUAGUGCUGCAGCUAACGCAUUAAGCACUCCGCCUGGGAGUACGGCCGCAAGGCUG